rnacentral:rRNA from 1 species
GGGGAAUAUUGGACAAUGGGCGAAAGCCUGAUCCAGCAACGCCGCGUGAGGGAUGACGGCCUUCGGGUUGUAAACCUCUUUCAGCAGGGACGAAGCGAAAGUGACGGUACCUGCAGAAGAAGGACCGGCCAACUACGUGCCAGCAGCCGCGGUAAUACGUAGGGUCCGAGCGUUGUCCGGAAUUAUUGGGCGUAAAGGGCUCGUAGGCGGUUUGUCGCGUCGGGAGUGAAAACUCAGGGCUCAACCCUGAGCGUGCUUACGAUACGGGCAAACUAGAGGUAUGCAGGGGAGAACGGAAUUCCUGGUGUAGCGGUGGAAUGCGCAGAUAUCAGGAGGAACACCGGUGGCGAAGGCGGUUCUCUGGGCAUUACCUGACGCUGAGGAGCGAAAGCAUGGGGAGCGAAC